AAAAACCCAGUGAUUAAGAGAGUAGUUAUAAUGAUAUGUUUCAGCGAGCUAAUGGUUGGUGGAAGUUUAGCAUCAUACUUAUAAUGAACCGCACUUAUGAGGGGACUACCUGAACUAAUAGUAGGGUAUUCGGUUAGCUUACCUUACAAGCAUGAGAGGGUAUAAAUAUUAAUUUUAUACCAAUUAGAGUGGUACCACGGAAAUUUUUCGUCUCUUAG
rnacentral:ncRNA from 1 species